rnacentral:rRNA from 1 species
GUAAGGAAUAUUGGUCAAUGGACGAAAGUCUGAACCAGCCAUGCCGCGUGGAGGAUGAAGGUCCUCUGGAUUGUAAACUUCUUUUAUAUGGGACGAAAAUGGGGCUUUCUAGCUCAACUGACGGUACCAUAUGAAUAAGCACCGGCUAACUCCGUGCCAGCAGCCGCGGUAAUACGGAGGGUGCAAGCGUUAUCCGGAUUCACUGGGUUGAAAGGGUGCGUAGGUGGAUUGGUAAGUCAGAGGUGAAAUCUCCGGGCUCAACUCGGAAACUGCCUUUGAUACUAUCAAUCUUGAAUAUUGUGGAGGUUAGCGGAAUAUGUCAUGUAGCGGUGAAAUGCUUAGAUAUGACAUAGAACACCAAUUGCGAAGGCAGCUGGCUACACAUAUAUUGACACUGAGGCACGAAAGCGUGGGGAUCAAACAGGAUUAGAUACCCGUGUAGUCC